UACGUAGGGUGCAAGCGUUGUCCGGAAUUAUUGGGCGUAAGGGGCUCGUAGGCGGUCUGUCGCGUCAGGAGUGAAAACUCGGGGCUUAACCCCGAGCCUGCUUCUGAUACGGGCAGACUAGAGGUAUGCAGGGGAGAACGGAAUUCCUGGUGUAGCGGUGAAAUGCGCAGAUAUCAGGAGGAACACCGGUGGCGAAGGCGGUUCUCUAGUACGGUACUGACGCUGAGACGCGAAAGCGUGGGGAGCGAACAGG
rnacentral:rRNA from 1 species